GUCUAGAAGAAGACAACGAUACGAUGACCACAACCAACACGAGGUUCACGGCUCUACAGAAUUCUCUUCUGAUGUUUAGCUGUGGUCCCUUGAUCCAGACACUCCUCAGCAACCAGUCUUUGUAUGGAAUCCACCGUUCUCUAUAAAGAUCUAUUUGUCUCUUCUUCCACUUCCAUCAGGGUCCAGUGACUACUAGGGGGUCUCUGCAAACUUCCAUUGACCACAAGAUAAGGAUUCACUCAAGGAAGGAUUAAAUGCCACCAUCUCACCCCAACCCUUUGGUGCAUCUGCAUUGGAAAUUAUUGGUCAAUUUUUGAGUGAUGGCCUUUCCACCACCAUACCUUUUAAAAUAGUAACAUAUGAAUGGUUAAUUGUUUUAGGCUGCAGCCAUUUAUUUUAAUUUCCAACAAUACAUUUUAAACUGAAAUUGUAUGAAAUGCCAUGUUAUUUUAUGUAUUGUAAAAAAAACAAGUUAUUCAACACCAUUUCAACUAAUGUCAAGCAAUUUUAGAAUGUGACUGUUAUGCAUAAUUACUGCAUCUUCCUUACCACACAAUUCUUAUAACAAUUGACAUAACAACAGUGCAGUUAAGGUCUGACCAUGUCAAAGUUGUAUCAACUGCAGCUUUUAUACAUAAAGUAAAUGGGGUUGUUUAAAUUGAAACCUUUUUGGAAUUAUUUAUUUUUUGAACUUGAACUGUGCAUAGACAAUGCACCAAAUAAUCAAGCAGUUUGUGGUUUUCCCUGUCUGAUGCUUGGACAGUUGUGUGGAACCAGUUUCUCUUCUAUGUAUUUGAUGGUUGUGCUCUUAUGU
ensembl:lincRNA